CGCGUUGCCAUGGGUGCGGGCGGCGGGGGCAUGGCCGGCACCGCGGGGCCGGGGCGGCGAGCGGGAGCCGUGCUGCUGCAGGUUCAAGAAGAUCUGCACAAGCUUAAAGACAAAGUGAAGAACAUCAGCUUGAAAGGAAACGUGGGAGCUGAGGAUAUGAGCGACCUGGAAAUGGCCAUUGAAAGAACUGAAUUUGGGCUGCGAAAACACGCUGAGAAUUACUUAAGUGCUCUAAGCAGCGAGGUGUUAACUAUUUCUCCUACUGAUAAUGAGGAAGAACGUUCAAAACAGCCCCCUAAAUGGGGGCUUCAAUGCGGUGCUUCUGAGAAGCAGCUUGUUUUACCGCGGGUGCCUGUUGAGCCCGUGGCUGUCCAGGCAUGCAGCAAAUCAGCGCAGCGCGUUGCUCCAGGCUCACAGAAGCAGCUGGAAAUGGAUAUGAAUAUUAUGCUUGACCCAGAAAACAUCAAUAGGAAAGCUGUGCUAAAACAACAGAGCUAUGAGACCAGGCUGCCACGUAUAACUAAGAAAAAACCUGCUCCUCCAUGUAGUCAGAAGGCAGUGAAAGGCCAUACCACCAACCGCCUUUGGGUUUUGCCUGCCUCUCAUCGCGUGGACUCUCCCUUACCCCUGUUAGAAGAGGACAUGAAGAAAGAUAUUCUGAGCCUAACUGAACAAAGGCUGAUCCCUCCAGCAGCAAAGAUAACUCUCCAGAUACCUCCUGUUGUAUCCAAAGCAGCUCCUCUCCAUGAAUUUCACAGGCAGCACAAGAAGUCAGCUGUAGGAGAGAUUAGUAGUAAGGUGGAACCUGUGAGCACAGACACUUUCACCUUUCCAAGCUCAAAAGAAGCAACUGAUGGUACACAUUCCUCUAGCAAAGGUAAUGCUGCACCACCUGGUCCUCCCUGGCAAUCCUCCCUGGAUUCAGCAAGAAAGUCAAAGCCAGCACACAUAUACCCGGCUCAACAGCUAGAGUGUGAGCUGCAGGCUCCUCAGGCACAGGAUCCAUCCCCUGACUGCGACAUUGCUGUUUACCACGGCACCAUAGACCAGACAGCUCCAGGCUUUCUGGCAUUCAAACAACGUUACUGUUUGUCCUGGGGGAGCGUUGUCUAUUUUUUGGAACACGUAGAGAAGCUUCUCAAGGACUACGCCGUACCACUGGCUACAGUAAGCUGUCAGAAGUUGGUGGAAGUGGCAUCGGACUUUGUGCUUAACGAGAUCCCCACCCAAAGUGACAUACUGUCAGUGAUAAGGAAUCGAUCAACUGUGGAAAAGAUCUUAAGUCGACCUGGCCAAAGAUACAAAGGCCAAGGGGGCACUGAAAUGGCGGCUGUGAAGAUCCAGGCCACGUGGAGACGUUACCAGGCCAGGAGAGCCUACGUCCGAUUCAGGCGGCAGCAGUGGGCAUCAGGUGUGAUUGCCAUUUCUUGGCUCCUGCAUAAUCACAUGGCACGUGUGAAAAAGACCCUGAAGGAAUCACGUCAGAGACACCUGGAGAAUUUUUACAUCAGGGCCAAGCAUCUGGCAGCCAACUGGAAUCGCAUCAGGACCUCCAGGAGGACUAUUAUCCAUAUCCCAUCAUUAGGAUAUUCCCAGCGCAUCCGUGAACGUAUUCCUGAUCUUGCUCUUCAACAGAAUUUGCAGCUGGGAAGGCUGUGCGACAUACUGGAUGCCAACGUGGACGUCAUCUACAUCUGCCCCCUUCAUCUGAGCGAGGAGUUACUGCAGUAUUACAAUAAACUCCUGGGUCUGCAGGCAGCUGUUAGAUCUGGGAACCCCGAGGACAUGAGUGACCUGCAGGACAGGUUCAAAAUUCUCACCCCUGAAGCUAUAAACAGCUUCCCUAAGCAUCACAUGUGCCUAGCCACUCAGCUGAAGUACAGUCCCAAGACAAUCCAAAGAAUAAAAAUUCUUAUCCAGAGGAGAGACGCCUACAUUAUCGGAGGGGUUCCCCACCAAGAUGAUUUAGCAGUGGCUGAUAUGUUAAAUGUGCCUAUCCUGGGCUCGGUGCCAGAAGUGGCUCAUCUCUAUAGUACCAAGUCCGGAAGUAAACGAAUUUUUGCCAGUGCUUGUGUGCCAACCCCUCCUGGAGAAUCUGACAUCUACAACCACGAACAGCUCAUCGGCGUUCUCAGCCAGCUGAUUGUGGACAACAUGGAGGUGCAGCGUUGGUUGUUUAAAGUGAAUGACGAAUCUGGAGGAAAUGGCACUGCCUUCUGUGAUAUUAUCUUGCAUUUGGAGUGCUACCACUGGGUUCUGAAGGAACGUCAGAAGCACAGCCCCGAGACGUGGAGUAAGAAGUGGGCACACGAGCCAGCUUUGGUGAAGAUCUCCCAGGAGCUGCCGGGCCUUUUAGCACAGCACGUACAGCCAGUCAAUGAGAAACGAUUCCCUACAUGGGAAAAAUUCCUCCAAACAUUUCUUAGUCAAGGUGGUGUGAUAGAAGCCUUCCCGCUCUCAGAAAAUGUCACAAACCUUACAGUGGAUAUGCUGAUAGAGCCAACAGGCGAGAUAAAAGUUGUGUCGUCAGGAGACCAGCUCCAUGCUGACGGACCUCUGCGAUCAUCUGGCACUACCAUUCCACAAUGUUCUGUUGAUCCAGCAGUUCUUAAUUCACUCUGCUUAAAAAUUGGAGAAGCCUGUAAAUCUAAAGGAGUACUUGGUUACUUCUCAGUUGAUUUUGUGACUUUCAUCCAUCCACAAACAAUGGAGCAGCAGGUAUGGGCAACAGACCUUGACCUUUGCUAUAGUGACCAGCUGGCUUUGACUCAGCUCUCGUUGUAUGUGACAGAUGGAAACCUGGAUUGUUGCUCUGGCCUCUCUGAAGUACCUCUUGGUUCGAGGAAAACGAAAAGUCAAUGCACUCGGCGCAAGGAGACAAAAAAGCCUUCUCCAAGAAGUAACCGCUGUGCAGUAGCAAGCAGUCAGCUGAGGCACUCCAGUCUUUCAGUCAUCUACUACAGUGUUUUCCUCCAGAUGUGUAAAGCUCAUGGUGUUGGAUUUGACCUCCAGGAGAAACAGGGAACAGUUUUUAUAUUGUAUGACGAUCAGAAGCGAUACAGAUUGGGAAUGAUAACAAUCGGAGAGGAUCUCCAGGGGGUCCUCAUGACCUUUGCUCGCAAUCUCUUCAUCAUCCAUCAAGAAAUAUCAGCACCUAAUAUGCAAGGCGAGACCAAUUUUAAGAUGGCAAUUCAGGAUAUUGAAGCAAUUCUAGGAGUUACAGCAGAAAACAAACUGAAAUUGGAAGAAGAGCAUCCUUCAAAAGCAGAUGCUCUGAAAGAAUAGUUAACAGAAGAUGUUUAAGUGCCUCACUCUUUAUGCUUCUGGAAAUGCUUUCUCAUCCGUAAGAACAGAUAUCUUCAAAUAUAGGUUCAUGGAAACAGACUGUCUGCUGCAUCCCUAGCCAACUCCCGCAUGGUGAAUUGUCCUUACUCUUAAAGCCAUUGCCUUACGCCUACUCUGAAUUUGUUUGACUUCAACUUUCAGGACUGGAUCUUGUUAUGCUCCUGCCUGAGAAAAUGAAGAACUGUUUGGUAUAAAAGGACACAUUUCUAUGGAAUGAACCUUUCAGUUCCUUGAAUCAAAAAUCCUAAGUGAGAUUUUGUUUGCUAACAUUCCUGUAGAAGUGGUGUACCCAAACCUCAUGAAGUAUUCCAGUAAUUUUGUCUCUGGUGUUAUAAAAUGAAAAUGCCAUUCUCUACAUUUUAAUGAUCCCCUGCGUGUAUGUAGAGAUAUCAUACUAUGUUUGUCACUAUACCAAAUAACCAAAUCAUUUCCGAUUGAAAAUAGCCCUGUGAUCCUAAGCUCCCUUUUGAACCUACUAUCUUCUAAAAUACAGGCUUCCCACACAGGAGUAGGUCCUGUGCUCUUCUACCUAUACAUAAUAUACUUCAUUGCUGUCUUUUCCUCAAGUCCAGCAUCUCAGAUUCCUCUUUAGAACUGAUCGUCCUUAUUGUUAUCAUUCCUGUAUUUGUUACCUACAAGCUUUUGCAGCAGUUAUUUUAUGCUCAGUUUCAAAUUAUGAAAAAUAAUAGUAAUAACAUCAGUGCAACAGUAGAUUCUGAGAAUCACAUUUGUACUAUAAUUCCCAGUAUACCAUGGCUUCUGCAGACCUCUUCAUCAGAUAUAUUCCAUAUUUCAGACGCUGCUGACUUUUUCAUCAGAAUUAUUGUGUGUUGUUAUAUUGAGAACGACUGCUACAUUUGUACAAUUGCCUCUGUCCAUCAGAUCUGUAACUUUAUCCCAAAAGAAAACACAUUCUAAAUUAUACUGUAGAAGAGCUCA